UCCGGUUUGGCACCGGCAGUCCCCCUAGAGUUCCCGGCCGAACCGCUGGCAACUAGGGGCGAGGGUUGCGCUCGUUGCGGGACUUAACCCAACAUCUCACGACACGAGCUGACGACAGCCAUGCAGCACCUGUGCACGGACUCCGAAGAGGGCCCCGAGUUUCCCCGGGGUUUCCCGUACAUGUCAAGCCCAGGUAAGGUUCUUCGCGUUGCGUCGAAUUAAACCACAUGCUCCACCGCUUGUGCGGGCCCCCGUCAAUUCCUUUGAGUUUCAACCUUGCGGUCGUACUCCCCAGGCGGGGUACUUCCUGCGUUAGCGCCGGCACCCAGAGGGUCGCUCCCCCAGGCACCUAGUACCCAUCGUUUACGGCGUGGACUAC
rnacentral:misc_RNA from 1 species